UGACUACUCACAUAAAUAGUUGAUAUUUAAGGCUUCUGACACUGGAUUUCUAGAAAGGCUGUACAAGAAUGGCACCAACAUCUGCUCAGCUUCUGGUGAGAACUUCAGGAGAGCUUAUAAUCAUUAGCAGAAAGUAAAGCAGGAGCAGGCAUGUCGCAUGUAGAGAUGAGGUUUCAUCAUGUUGGCCAGGAUGGUCUUGAUCUCUUGACCUCAUAAUCCGCCCACCUCAGCCUCCCAAAGUGCUGGGAUUACAGGCAUGAGCCACCACGUCCAGCCAUACCACUGUUCUACUAACUGGGAGACUGAGACUCCACUGAUUAAGUCUCUGCCCAAGGUCAUGCAGCUUAUCAUUCAUGUCCAGUGAAUGAUGUGAGUGACUUCAAAGGCCAUGCUCAUCCUGCCACGCCACUCUGCCUCCAGAAGCAGGAAGAAGGACACAUACCUGGGGAAGCUUUUGGAUGGCCAUGAAUUUGUAACUGAAUGUAUGACAAAUAUCUAGAGUAAUGAAAGAAGACUGAGAAAACAAAAAUAUGUUAAGGAGAUGUAGCAGCUAACACUUAUGUCUUCAAGCCUCAUGCUGUGGGAUAUACACAUCUUCACAAACUAACCACAGCAGAAGAUCAGAACCUAGAACAAAAGGUUAGCAUGUGGCCAUGAAGAUGUGUGCGUGUGUGUGUGUGUGCACACUGCACACUCGCACAUGGACAUCUGCAUAAGCACAUGUGACGGUGGCUUCUUAUACACAUGGGUGUAAGAAGCAUGAAGAGAUCCACGUAUACAUGUUGCAACAGGGCCAGAGGUGGCCUAAGAAUUCCGUCUCAGCAAAGUCCUCCAGGAGGCUCCUGCAUCGACCAGAACUGGCACUCAGGAUGAAACCUAUUUGCCAACCUGGUAGUUGGUACAUGCACAGGAUGGGCUCCUCCUGUACUAAGUUCAGCAAACUAGGCAUAAGCAAAAAGCUCCUGGAGCUCUGGAAACUAUGACUGGGGGUAAAACAGACACCUGGAAGGGUGGGGGGCCCUUUCCUUCCUGCCUCACUGACGUCGGACACCUGGUGCACUGGUGUUGAGAGCAGGACACUUUGCAGCUCAGGAAGCCCAGAAACCCUAAUUGCCCCCACAGAACCACAAUACACACUGAGGCCCCAGCACAGGGUCUCCUUCAUGCCAUGAUUAGCUUCCGCUGAGGCCAGUUUCAGUCCUCUUCACAUCAGGACCUUGAGGCUCUUCUCCAAGUCCCUGUCAUGCAAGACUGCAGGCUGGUGUACCUCCUCCUCCCCCUGCAUCCCCCACCGUCUCAAACACACACACAGCAGGCCCCUCCCUGGUGCCCGUCCCCUCCCAUCCUCACUCAACAAAUGGCCUCCUUUCAUUGACCUGGUUGGGUAGCCUCGUGCCCUUCCUGGAACCUGCUGGAUGUGAAAUUGUUUAGAAACUCCACACCAAGCUACUCCAGGGACUUAUUUUCAGCCAUUCUUCUCACCAGUACAGCUGAACAUGAAGCCUCCAGCAGUUUUCAACCCCUAGGGGGUAUAUUUCAGAGUUCAAGGGCAAUGUGAACAGCCAGCAGCCUGAGGGACAUUUGCCAAGAGCAUCUAUCCAGGGGAUCUUGUAUUACCAGCAGAGAGCCAGAAGCACCGUGCAAGGAGGAGACAGGCCAUGCACUGGCUUCAUUUGUGCUGUGCUGUCACUAAUGUCCCCCUAACGCUCUCUAUUAUCCUUGUAGUCAUCCCCAAACAUUCACAAAGCCACUGGUCAAUGCAGCCCAUGGACAUAUGCUUUCGUCCAGACAGCCAUGAUGUCCUGUUGGGGAAAUAGGUUACCACAUAAAGCACCAAACACCAUCCAGCAGUACCUGUGCCCUGAGCCCAAUCAGCGGCACAGACACUCCUAAGAUGACAAGUUCUGGGAAAUAUAUUGAAAAAUAACAAUAGAUGGAUGUCUUUUUCAUCUUUGUAGCCCAACGCCUGGCACAUGGU